AGCAGCCGCGGUAAUUCCAGCUCCAAUAGCGUAUAUUAAAGUUGUUGCAGUUAAAAAGCUCGUAGUUGAAUUUCGGGGUCAGCAAGUUGGUCGUGCCACUGGUAUGUACUGGCUUUGCUGAUUCCUCCUUCUUGUAGAACCGUAAUGCCAUUAAGUUGGUGUUGCGGGAAAACAGGACUGUUACUUUGAAAAAAUUAGAGUGUUUAAAGCAGGCUAACGCUUGAAUACAUUAGCAUGGAAUAAUGAAAUAGGACGACGAUCCUAUUUUGUUGGUUUCUAGGAUUGACGUAAUGAUUAAUAGGGAUAGUUGGGGGCAUUAGUAUCCAAUUGUCAGAGGUGAAAUUCUUGGAUUUAUUGAAGACUGACUACUGCGAAAGCAUUUGCCAAGGAUGUUUUCAUUAAUCAAGAACGAAAGUUAGGGGAUCGAAGACGAUCAGAUACCGUCGUAGUCUUAACCAUAAACUAUGCCGACUAGGGAUCGGAUGAUGUUAAUUUUUUAAUGACUCA
rnacentral:rRNA from 1 species